rnacentral:rRNA from 1 species
GUGAGGAAUAUUGGUCAAUGGGCGAGAGCCUGAACCAGCCAAGUCGCGUGAAGGAUGAAGGUUUUAUGAAUUGUAAACUUCUUUUGCAGGGGAAUAAAGUACGGUACGUGUACCGUUUUGUAUGUACUCUGCGAAUAAGGAUCGGCUAACUCCGUGCCAGCAGCCGCGGUAAUACGGAGGAUCCAAGCGUUAUCCGGAUUUAUUGGGUUUAAAGGGUGCGCAGGCGGGUUGAUAAGUCAGCGGUGAAAGUUUGCAGCUUAACUGUAAAAUUGCCGUUGAAACUGUCGAUCUUGAGUGCAAAUGAGGUAAGCGGAAUGUGUUGUGUAGCGGUGAAAUGCUUAGAUAUAACACAGAACACCGAUUGCGAAGGCAGCUUACUGGGAUGCAACUGACGCUCAUGCACGAAAGCGUGGGGAUCAAACAGGAUUAGAAACCCCAGUAGUCC